ACUCCUACGGGAGGCAGCAGUGGGGAAUAUUGCACAAUGGGCGCAAGCCUGAUGCAGCCAUGCCGCGUGUAUGAAGAAGGCCUUCGGGUUGAUAAAGUACUUUCAGCAGUGAGGAAGGUGGUAUGUUAAUAGCAUACNCAUUUUGACGUUAGCUGCAGAAGAAGCGACCGCUAACUCCGUGCCAGCAGCCGCGGUAAUACGGAGGGUGCGAGCGUUAAUCGGAAUUACUGGGCGUAAAGCGCAUGCAGGUGGUUUGUUAAGUCAGAUGUGAAAGCCCGGGGCUCAACCUCGGAAUUGCAUUUGAAACUGGCAAACUAGAGUACUGUAGAGGGGGGUAGAAUUUCAGGUGUAGCGGUGAAAUGCGUAGAGAUCUGAAGGAAUACCGGUGGCGAAGGCGGCCCCCUGGACAGAUACUGACACUCGAUGCGAAAGCGU
rnacentral:rRNA from 1 species